UACGUAGGGCGCAAGCGUUGUCCGGAAUUAUUGGGCGUAAAGAGCUCGUAGGCGGUCUGUCGCGUCGGCUGUGAAAACCUGGGGCUUAACUCCGGGCUUGCAGCCGAUACGGGCAGACUAGAGUUCGGCAGGGGAGACUGGAAUUCCUGGUGUAGCGGUGAAAUGCGCAGAUAUCAGGAGGAACACCGGUGGCGAAGGCGGGUCACUGGACCACAACUGACGCUGAGGCGCGAAAGCUAGGGGAGCAAACAGG
rnacentral:rRNA from 1 species